rnacentral:lncRNA from 1 species
GUCUUUCAGAUUCUAAGCCUAGUGUUGUGACAGAGGCUGGCACUAAAGAAAAAAGUGCCAAGCUGAAGAGUGUGUGAAAUUGAUCAUCUCGAUGGGGGAGGGACCCCAAGGGAUUGGAAUCUGGAGGAGGGGAAGACUCUGACUGGUAGAGGAGUUGAUCUCUCUCAGUCUUGAGAAGCCAAAGACAGAAGGUGGGGAAAAAAGACUUUCUCCUGAGGAUUACCCACUUUUUCCUGCUGGUGACUGGAAAUCCUUACCCCCAACAUUUCCCAAUUGAAGGGACUUUCUGAAGAGAAACCUGAGCAGACUUUAUCUCAGCUUCUGUUGCCCAGAGGCUAAUGUUGCAAAAGCCAAAGGGAGAAGUGAGUUGAAGAGAAGAGAAUAGGAUCAGUCUGAGAAACUACAGAGAAGUUGGGGAAGAUGAGGAGGAAGAAUAAGGAAAGACCUUUCAUGUGGUCAUUGAAGAAAGUUUUUUCUGCAAUCUAAUGGGACUAUAUGAUGUGAAAGCGUCCACAUGCUUUGUCUCUGGAUCCUCUUCAGUCACCUAGACUCUUCUAGUCUCCCAUGUGGAAUGAAUUGGGGGUUCAGAGCCAACAGUCACGUCUGUCUGUUAUCACAGCUACUUUGUGGGGGGACCAACACUGGACCAAAGAUUUCAGGAACUCAUUGGAAGAUAGGAGCAGUUAAAUCAUGAAUGAUCACCUUACCCUUGAACUACAAUGGGUCUGUUUCUGAAUCUCAUUCACUGGAUCACUGGUGAUAAGUAGAAGAUAAAGAUGGAAUCUUUAUUGUAACAUCACAAGGAGGUGGCAUAAAACUGUGUAAAAGUUGCCAAGAAAAACAAACAAAAGAGCCCAGAUUGCUAAUGCAUCUUCUCUUUUGGCCUAUCUAAAGACAGAAGGAGUAGAGGAGCCAAUUGGAUUUGAGUAGGAACAUUCAUGGGUCUUCACCAUAAACUUUAAUGGUUGCAGAAGUUAAAAUGUAUUCCUUUCCAGAAAGACACAAUUCAUCUGGUGUGUCAACACUGGUACCUUUGGCAUGGAGAGGAAGAAGACAUAGCAUAUGGCGUACAGCAAGAUGGAGUGCUAUCUCUCUCCCACUUCCUCUAUCCGGAAAACCUUUUGUUAUAAUGAAGAAUAAAAGAACAAGGAGAAAAAAGUACUUCACGCAAAACCAAAAAAUGCACUAUCUUUGGCUGAGAGUAUUUGGAUUAUUUCAUAACCACAGUACUUUACCUCUUCAGUGU